rnacentral:rRNA from 1 species
AGAUUGAACGCUGGCGGCAUGCCUUACACAUGCAAGUCGAACGCGAAAGGGGGAGCAAUCCCCUUAGUAGAGUGGCGAACGGGGUGAGUAAUACAUCGGAACGUGUCCAGUAGCGGGGGAUAACCUCUCGAAAGAGAGGCUAAUACCGCAUACGACCUACGGGUGAAAGGGGGGGAUCGCAAGACCUCCCACUAUUGGAGCGGCCGAUGUCGGAUUAGCUAGUUGGCGGGGUAAAGCCCACAAGGCGACGAUCCGUAGCUGGUCUGAGAGGACGGCCAGCCACGACUGGAACUGAGACCACGGUCCAGACUCCGUACGGGAGCCAGCAGUGGGGAAUUUGGACAGUGGGACGAAGCCUGAUCCAGCCAGUCGCCGCGUGA